UUUUAAAUGAGUUCAUACUGAAAUCUUUAUGAUUUGGAUGCUGACUGGGAUGGUAUUUCAAGUGGUUUACGAUUUUGUUUGCAGCGUUGGAGUGCAUCGGGUUUCUGGGCAACGGCAAGAUUCUGUGGGAAUAUCUACAUUCUCAUAGGGAUAUUGCUGUUUCCUUUAAUAGAUCCCUACAGGCAAAAGAGCACUCCAAAAGAAAAUGUUAAGAGGUAGCGGAGAUAUUAAAUGCUCAAGGCGAUGGGGCUCAUAAAGAUUGGAGAAGCUGGUCCAAAUAUUGGGUACAUUAUAAGGCAAAGUUAAAAAAAAGAGUGGCAUCCUUGCGAUUGUCCCAAGGCAGGACUGGGGGUGGUCCAUCAACAGAGCAACCUCUGUCCGACAUUGAUAACAAGUUUCUCCAGAUAUUGGGGGAGGAUUAUGAACAGGGGUUGAGCGGUGUUCAAGUGGAACCAUUUCCACCUUCCGGGAGCACCACUACUGUCCUAGGGGUGGAGAUACCAGUCAUAGACAUCCCAGAGUCCAUGAUCCCCAAUCAAGAUUCUCCAGCCUCAGAAUCAA